rnacentral:tRNA from 1 species
UCCACGGUAGGGCAGUGGUUAGUGUUCUAGUCUAGUAGACUGGAGGUGGUGGGUUCGAUUCCCACCUGAGGCA